UAAAUACUACCUGAUGACCGAUAGUGAAGCAGUACCGUGAGGGAAAGGUGAAAAGAACCCCGGGAGGGGAGUGAAAUAGAACCUGAAACCGUGUGCCUACAACCGCUCAGAGCCCCUUAUGAGGGUGAUGAGGUGCUUUUUGUAGAACGAGCCAACGAGUUACGGUAUGUAGCAAGGUUAAGUACUUAAGGUACGGAGCCGAAGGGAAACCGAGUCUGAAUAGGGCGACUAGUUGCAUGCCGUAGACCCGAAACCGGGUGACCUAUCCAUGGCCAGGUUGAAGCGAGGGUAAAACCUCGUGGAGGACCGAACCACGUUGCUGUUGAAAAAGCAUGGGAUGAGCUGUGGAUAGCGGAGAAAUUCCAAUCGAACCCGGAGAUAGCUGGUUCUCUCCGAAAUAGCUUUAGGGCUAGCGUCGAGUAUGAGUAGUGGAGGUAGAGCACUGAAUGGGCUAGGGGGCAUAGCGCUUACCGAACCUUAUCAAACUCCGAAUGCCACAUACUUUGAGCUCGGCAGUCAGACUACGAAUGAUAAGAUCCGUGGUCAAAAGGGAAACAGCCCAGAUCGUCAGCUAAGGUCCCAAAGUGUAAGUUAAGUGGGAAAGGAUGUGAGAUUUCUAAGACAACUAGGAUGUUGGCUUAGAAGCAGCCAUUCAUUAAAAGAGUGCGUAAUAGCUCACUAGUCGAGAGAUCUUGCGCCGAAAAUGUAACGGGGCUAAACUUACCACC
rnacentral:rRNA from 1 species